GAGGUGGGAGGAUCUCUUGAGUUCGGAAGUUCGAAGUUGCAGUGAGCUAUGAUCGUGCCACUGCACUCCAGCCUGAGUGACAGAGCGAGACCCUGUCUC
rnacentral:miRNA from 1 species